rnacentral:rRNA from 1 species
UACAGGGGGUGCUAGCGUUGUUCGGAAUUACUGGGCGUAAAGGGCGCGUAGGUUGUUUCGCAAGUCAGAAGUGAAAUCCCGGAGCUUAACUCCGGAAUUGCUCCUGAUACUGCGGGGCUAGAGUGUAUUAGAGGAUGGCGGAAUUCCUAGUGUAGUGGUGAAAUACGUAGAUAUUAGGAAGAACACCGGUGGCGAAGGCGGCCAUCUGGGAUACAACUGACACUGAGGCGCGAAAGCGUGGGGAGCAAACAGG